GAACGCUGGCGGCGUGCUUAACACAUGCAAGUCGAGCGGUAAGGCCUUUCGGGGUACACGAGCGGCGAACGGGUGAGUAACACGUGGGUGAUCUGCCCUGCACUCUGGGAUAAGCCUGGGAAACUGGGUCUAAUACUGGAUAUGACCUCAGCAUGCAUGUGCUGGGGUGGAAAGCUUUUGUGGUGCAGGAUGGGCCCGCGGCCUAUCAGCUUGUUGGUGGGGUAAUGGCCUACCAAGGCGACGACGGGUAGCCGACCUGAGAGGGUGACCGGCCACACUGGGACUGAGACACGGCCCAGACUCCUACGGGAGGCAGCAGUGGGGAAUAUUGCACAAUGGGCGGAAGCCUGAUGCAGCGACGCCGCGUGAGGGAUGAAGGCCUUCGGGUUGUAAACCUCUUUCAGCAGGGACGAAGCGUGAGUGACGGUACCUGCAGAAGAAGCACCGGCUAACUACGUGCCAGCAGCCGCGGUAAUACGUAGGGUGCGAGCGUUGUCCGGAAUUACUGGGCGUAAAGAGUUCGUAGGCGGUUUGUCGCGUCGUUUGUGAAAACCCGGGGCUCAACUUCGGGCUUGCAGGCGAUACGGGCAGACUUGAGUGUUUCAGGGGAGACUGGAAUUCCUGGUGUAGCGGUGAAAUGCGCAGAUAUCAGGAGGAACACCGGUGGCGAAGGCGGGUCUCUGGGAAACAACUGACGCUGAGGAACGAAAGCGUGGGUAGCAAACAGGAUUAGAUACCCUGGUAGUCCACGCCGUAAA
rnacentral:rRNA from 1 species